rnacentral:siRNA from 1 species
UCAUUUUCUCCUACCUUGUC